UUCUCUCUCUUACUAAAUUCUUGUUUCAUUAAAUGUGUUUCAAGAUAAUUUAAUGCUAGAAUAAUCAUCUUCAUCAUCAUUCGAUCAUCAUAACAAGAGCUUGAAGUUUAAAGUACAAGAAAUCACCAUUUUCAAGUCAAAUUCGGAUUUAAAGCUUGCUUGAAGUUUUUGGUGAACAAGUUAAUGGAAGACGUGUGGGGUGAUUUAUUGCUUGUUUGUGCUAGGAUUAGACUUGGACUUCAUGGAUCCGUGAUUCAUAGUUCCUGAUUAUGGGUUAUACUUAGGAUCAUUUACCAUCUUUUGAACUAUAUUUUGUAAACGUUUGAUGGCGUGCUCCUUAUGCAUUUUUAUAUGAUUCCGGUACUUGAAAUUGAUUGGUUUA